rnacentral:rRNA from 1 species
AUGCAAGAGCCCACGGGCCCCGAAAACCUCCUCCCUCAUGCGCGCGCGCAACCUUUUCCGUCGCCGGCGCCACCGCUUCCGAAAAUUUCCCUCUUCUCUUUCUCUUUCUUUCCGUGCCACUCCCCAAUCCGUUCUCCAAUCCCACUCCCCUGUAUGCCGGCGUCCGGGACGCGCUCCCGGGGCCGGCCGCCGCAGCCGGUGGAGGAGGGGGCGCGCGACGCAGAAGCGCCGGUGGAGGAGGCGGGCGAGCUCGGCGCCGACGGCGAUGCGGCGGUUAGUGCGUUACCGGCUCACCCGGUGAGCUCUUCCAGCUCGGGUGAGGACGAUGGGGAGGAGGCGGGGGAUGGGGAUGAUGAGGACGCGGAGGGGCCGCUCCUCCCCAGCUGCCCCGUGUGUAUGAACGCGUGGACCGCCGAUGGCGAGCAUCGCGUAAGUUGCAUUCCUUGUGGACAUGUCUACGGCAGAUCUUGCUUAGAAAAAUGGUUAGCACAGUGUGGGAAGAAAAGUGCCACGUGUCCUCAGUGCGGCAAGAUGUUUAGACAAAAGAACAUUAUCAACCUCUAUGCACCAGAGAUUGUUGUUCCAAAUAAUGAUCUUGAAAAGCAAGUAUUAUCAUUGAGAGAUAAAAAUGAAUUUCUUGAGAAUCAACAACAAAAAUUAAUUGAGGAGGUAAAAGAAUAUAAGAGGCAGAUUUUGUAUCAGCAACGUCUAAUAAAUGAGUCAAGCUCAAAGCGACAGAAAAUGGCAGAACAAUCAUCGAAUGGAGCAAUGAUUGCAGAGUCACUUCCCUCACUUAGAGCACAUGGUGGCAGUAGCGAUCUUUGCAAGUUUGUUCUCCAGAAUGAGUUUGUCCUGGAUGGAGCUCGAGUCAUGGGCAUAGAUGCAUCCAGCCAGAUUAUAGUAGCUUCUGGAAGGGCUCCUGGAGUUAGUGCUGAACAUGUCCUUACCAAGAUCUGCAUGUUCUCUAGACAGGAAACAAAAGUCCGCCUUCCGCCUAACACUAAAGCUGUCAGGGAUAUUUGUAUAACUCCUGGGGGCCUUGCUAUUUUUGCAUCUCUUGGCAGGAAAUUGUCACUUCUCAGCAUGACAACCAACAAUGUUGUCCUUCAGUAUGAUCUACCGGCUCCAGGCUGGUCCUGUUCAGGGGAUCAAACUGGCCCCAAUCACGUAUAUGCUGGAUUACAGAAUGGCAUGCUUUUGGUCUUUGAUACCCGCCAAACUAAAGGACCACUGCACUCCUUGAGUGGCCUAUCUACAAACCCAGUUCAUACAAUCCACUCUGUCGUAGAUGAUAGCGGUUCCACGAAGAUCAUCUCUGCUUCUUCCAUAGGACCCUGCAUUUGGGAUGUAGAUGGCAGUGAAAAUAGGCCAAAUUUGCUUACCGGGAUGGAAAACCAAGGGGUCUGCAUAUCCCUUGCAUGUGCCGCUCCAUCAAGUGAUCUGAUUGUGGCUUCCUUCCGUCCGAGGGUCGAGUUUUCGGGCGAUGGCAGUGCAUCUCAAAUGGGUAUAUCACAAUCACCGACUCUCUCCAGUUCUGGGAAGCUCGGGUGCCACGCUCUCCUGAGGAGGAAGAGCAGCACAUCCUUCGUGAAAGAGCAGAUCUGCAACGGCAACGUGAGUGAGCUGCGGAUGUCGAAGUCCGCAAUCUUACCCUGCAGCGGAACCGACCAACGCCUCUUUGCCUACGGCGACGAGUCGCUGCGCGGAGUUCGCACGUGGCGGCUGCCUUCGUUUCAGCCGCUCGCUGAUCUCAGGCCGCACCGCCAACCUAUCCUUGACCUGAGGUUUGCGGAGAGCUCCACCGGGGAGAAGUACCUCGGGUGCUUGAGCGAGGAGAAGCUGCAGGUCUUCAGAAUUAGGUCGUAG